CGGCACUGGGUGUUCGACGAGGGGCUGCUGCUCCCGGGCUACCCCCGGCCCCUCUCGGAGCUCGGCCGCGGCGUCCCCAGCGACCGCGUGGACGCCGCCCUGCUCUGGCUGCCCAGCGGCCACACCUACCUCUUCCGGGGCGACAAGUGCGUCCGGGGCCUUCCGGAACCUUCCGGAACCUUCUCGAAUUUUCUGGGAUUUUUUGGGAAUUUUUUGGGAUUUUUUUCCCCGGAAGUUUGGGGCUUUUUAUGCACCUUCCAGGACCUGUCUCUGCUAUUUCUGGGCUUUUUUGGGACCUUCCGGGACCUUCUCUGAACCUUUCUGCACCUUCCAGGACCUUUCUAGACCUUCUGGGACCUUCCAGAAUUUUCUGGGAUUUUUUGGGAAUUUUUUGGGAUUUUUUUCGCGGAAUUUUGGGGCUUUUUAUGUAUCUUCCAGGACCUGUCUGGGCUGGUUUUGGGCUGUUUUUCGGCCCUUUCUGCACCUUCUAGAACCUUCUCUGAACCUUUCUGCACCUUCCAGGACCUUGCUGGAUCUUCUGGAACCUUCUGGGGCCUUCCAGAAUUUUCUGGGAUUUUUUGGGAUUUUUUCUGGGAAUUUCGGGGCUUUUUAUGUACCUUCCAGGACCUGUCUCUGCUAUUUCUGGGCUUUUUUGGGACCUUCUGGAACCUUCUCUGAACCUUCCUGCACCUUCCAGGACCUUUCUAGACCUUCUGGG
rnacentral:lncRNA from 1 species